CGGCCGUAGCGCGGUGGUCCCACCUGACCCCAUGCCGAACUCAGAAGUGAAACGCCGUAGCGCCGAUGGUAGUGUGGGGUCUCCCCAUGCGAGAGUAGGGAACUG
rnacentral:rRNA from 2 species